UUUUGUCUGAAAACCGUCCAGUGCAGACCCUUAGGUCCAUAUUGACCCGUCUUGAGCAGGCUUACUGUGGGAGCAUUGGCUAUGAGUAUAUGCACAUUGCAGAUCGUGAGAAAUGUAACUGGUUAAGAGACAAGAUUGAAACCCCAACUCCUAUGCAGUACAAUCGCCAGCGCCGUGAAGUUAUUCUCGAUAGGCUAAUAUGGAGUACGC
rnacentral:misc_RNA from 1 species